AGCGUCACCUCGGGGUGCCUUGAUUGGCUGAGACGCAGCAGCGGACCCGUUGAACCUGAACCGGCUAAUACCGGCGGAGGGAAGGUUUCAGAUUUGUCC
rnacentral:ncRNA from 1 species